ensembl:lncRNA
GUAUACUUUAGUUGCUAAUGGAAGCCUGCAGUACCUCGAGUGGCCUUCAACUUGAGAUACUCCAUGAGAGGAGGCAGCACUGAGCAGUCCUGCAACGUCACUUUCUAGAGUAGCUCAAAAUGUGCGUACAAUGUUUCCAAAACUCCUCCAUGUAAGCAAGAUUGCGACACGCUGAAAAGACACUUCCUGCUCAUCUUAACAAGCUGAGCAUUCUCAUAGGAAACAAUUGGGUGACGUCAUCGAUGGCUUCUUCCAUGCAUUUCACGGUCUUUGGUUAGAACACAUCCCAGGAAUGGACUGGCAUUUUGAGAGUGAAUAGAAGCUUAUUAUGCAGAAUCGGAGGUUAUAAAGGACGAUUUGCCCUGGAGAGCUAUGGGCCAGUCAAAACCCAGCGUCCUGGAGCCCUCUCUAGAAUGCUGAACCAAUAGCGGAGCACCUCAGCCUCUGUUCCACCAACCUCAAAGCCCGCCCACUGGAGGUGCACCGUGGCAACCAGGUGAUGGACGCGCCCCAGAGUUCUGCAGAACCCUCCACUCAGCACUCCACUCAACCCUGAACUCAGCAGAUCGAUUUGGGAGGAAGAAAUAAGGAAAGUGUGUGUUUUACUCCCUCCGGUGGUUGCAGUUUGUAACUACAGCAGUGGUGUGAUUAACUGUUGCUAUGGCAGCCAGGGUCAGCUCUCAGUCCUGUUGUCAUGGAAACGAGAGUGAGCAGCCCUGUCUGUGAGUAUUGUGCAUGUUACAUGUGUAUAUCUGUUGUGUAUGAGAGUGAUUUACUGUAUGUGUUACCGUGUGGAUGUGUGAGUGACGUGUGUGUUACCGUGUGAUGUCCCAGAAUCUCCAUGAUGUCCUUGAGCGUCUGGGACCCGUUACCCAGAAUUGUCGGAACAUUGUUACCAUGGUUACGGUAACCACCGCUGGCCCUGUCACCAUGGUGACCACUGGGGUCAAGUCUGUGGAUGAGGAACCCUGUAUUACUCUCAUCAGAGAGAGAGAGAGAGAGAGAGAUACUGCUUUAUAUUAUUAAAUCGUUUGGGGAGGCAUGGCAGUGAUGUUAUGAUAUUGUAUAAUGAUGGUAAUGAUAUAUUUGGUUCACAUAUACAUUGAGU